rnacentral:rRNA from 1 species
GACGAACGCUGGCGGCGUGCUUAACACAUGCAAGUCGAACGGAAAGGCCCUGCUUUUGUGGGGUUCUCGAGUGGCGAACGGGUGAGUAACACGUGAGUAACCUGCCCUUGACUUUGGGAUAACUUCAGGAAACUGGGGCUAAUACCGGAUAGGAGCUCCUGCUGCAUGGUGGGGGUUGGAAAGUUUCGGCGGUUGGGGAUGGACUCGCGGCUUAUCAGCUUGUUGGUGGGGUAGUGGCUUACCAAGGCUUUGACGGGUAGCCGGCCUGGGAGGGUGACCGGCCACAUUGGGACUGAGAUACGGCCCAGAGUCCUACGGGAGGCAGCAGUGGGGAAUAUUGCACAAUGGGCGGAAGCCUGAUGCAGCAACGCCGCGUGCGGGAUGACGGCCUUCGGGUUGUAAACCGCUUUCGCCUGUGACGAAGCGUGAGUGACGGUAAUGGGUAAAGAAGCACCGGCUAACUACGUG